AAUACAAUUUCGUUUGCAUAUAAUUAUCUUUCUUUAUGAGAAAAUCCACAUUCUCUGUUUCAUUGCCUAAUAGAGUUAUUUCAAGUAAUGUUUUCGCUGUUUGGUGCAUGAAGUGUUUGAUCAUAAUGGGAUUUGGAAUCUAUCAAUCAAAAUAACUUUCUCAAUACCUCUUGUGCUUUGUGAAUUCGUAACUUGGUAGUCGGUUGAUUGGCCAUCUGACCCGCAGAUAUCGAUAGACACAGAAUAGUAUAUUUCAAUUUAUUUUAAUAUCUCUCGAAACCAAAAUGGGUUGACACUUAAGCUGUCUUUGUCUUCACCAAAGUUAGGCGAAAUAUCCUAGAAUUUGUGGAAUGUGUGUAUGGCUUGCAUUUUUUUAACUGAGGAACAGGGGGUCAUGAGUGAUAAAAGCUAUCAGAAGAGGGCUAUUAUCCCUAAAAGGUGUCCUCAUUCUCACCAAGGACUUAUCAAUUGCAGAAUUGUGUGUGGCUAUAAACAGAAGAAGGAAAAUUAUUUCUGUUUGAAAAUAUAGCAGAAUGGAUCAUAUUAGUAAUUUGUUUGAAUACUUUAUAUUAUAUAUACAAAUUAAUAUAUGACCAGACUUGUUUGUGAAUGUCAACCACAAAAAAAUUUCCACUGGUUGGUAUACUGGAAAUCACCUGAUUUUGAACUAGUGUAAAACCGGUAUUUGAUAUUGAAACAGUUACUCUCAACAGUGCAAAAAUUGAUAGCAAAUUGCUUUCCAAAAAUCCCCAAAGUGCUUAAAUAUGACAAAAUUUUUUUUUUUAACACUAUUCAUUCGCCAGAUUAACCCACAUUUAAACAAUCUAUUCAAUUUGUUAAUUAUGGUGAAUACAGUUUAUUUGUCAUGACUCUUACUUAUAUUUAUUUUGAAUCAUAUGGUAGUUUGGUAUGGCAAUUUGUUUAAUAUUAACCAUGUUUAAUGAGCUGUCAAUAUAAUUGGUCAUUGAAGCAUUUUUAAAUUGGGUCUGACUUCGGAAACUGCUGUUUGAAUUAAUACACAUCUGAAAUAGCAAUUUUCUUGUGUACUGAUGUAUGUGGGAAAGUGAUGUUUUUCCAAUAUCAUCACAAAUAAAAUGUUUUUGUAACAUAUUCAGUAAAUGUGUCGAAACAAAUAUAGACUGUUUAUAAUCUGUGACAUUUUUUAUUAUCACAAUGUGUUAAUAAAACAAUAAUGAACUGGGUUAAUCAAUUAUUGUUUUUGGCGAAUCAACAUUAUAAAAAUUUUGAUACUGGUGUGAAACAAACAUUCAUAAACAUUUUGUUGAUUGAUGCUUGUUUUACAUGUGAGAGGGUAAAUUUGCAAUUACGAAAGUUUAAUAUAUACAAAGUGCUAGUAAGGAGAAUUGACAAUGCUUAGCUGUAAUUGAAAUUAUAUGGAAACUAAAUUUAGAUGUCUUUCAUUUGCACCGAUACAUAUUUUAUAUUUUGAGCAAAAGUUAUAUAUAUUUGAUUGGAUUAAUUAAUUAAUUUAAUUAGAAUUCUUAGUAUAGGAGUUAUUCAUUAGAUAUAUUUCUUUGGAUAAACACAUUCUUAGGAAACUUUUGGUAUUGUUCAAUUUUAUUAAUAAAUGUAAAAAAAGGUAUCGGG